AAGCACCUCGCCUGACAGACCCUUAUGCAAUAUUAUUUAUGCCAAAGAUUAUGAUGAUAUCAUUUCCUGUGGACCAUCAUUAUUCCACUGGCAGACGUUGGAAUGUGGAAGUGGGAAGUCAAGUUAGACGGAGAUGCUUCAAGAAUGGUGAAGGUGUCUGUCACCGCCCGUCAACGAGACGCCUAUACCCUCCCCAUCACCACCAGAGUCUGGGUACCUUCACCACCGACGGGAGUCAGUGCACUCAAUACCAAAAUAAAAAUCUUUGCUGAAGUGAAACAAGGAAAUAACCCAAUCAUUAACGCACACGUCAGGUAAGAAAUAUGUUCUUUAAUUUCGCUAA